GAAGAGUAAUUAACAAGCAAUGGCUGUAAUGGGAAUUGGGGCAGCUAAUUGGUUGAAGGGAAGUGGAGCUCUGUUACUUUCUUGCCGCACAAAUUCAAUUCCUGCAGUAGUUUCUUCAUGUACUGUUAUUGCUUCACGCUCGAGGGUGCACUAUUGUUCCUCAACAUUCUCACUUCAGCACCAGAAAAAGAAUAAUACCCUUUUCAGUUCUGGUGUCAAUGGUCAUAAAAUUGGUGAUUGGGGUAGUCAGGUUACGAAAUUAUACUUCAAUUUUUACUGUACGGCAUCAUCAAAUGUGAGUAUUGAAGAGAAGGAUUCGUCUGGUGAAGUAGUUGAGGAGGAUGAGGAGAGUAAGAUGAGGAAAAUUAAGGAUGCGGCGAAUAGUUUGGAUAUUAGGGUUGGGAGAAUAAUUAAAGCGUGGAGACAUGAGGAGGCUGAUUCACUUUAUGUUGAAGAGGUUGAUGUUGGUGAGGCUGAACCAAGAAUCAUUUGUAGUGGGUUGGUUAAGUAUGUACCUCUUGACCAUCUUCAGGAAAGGAGUGUGAUUGUUCUUGCAAAUUUAAAGCCAAGGAAUAUGCGGGGUGUCAAAUCAAAUGGAAUGCUGAUGGCAGCUUCUGAUGCAUCUCAUGAGAACGUGGAACUUCUUGAACCACCUGAAGGUGCAGUACCCGGGGAAAGGAUAUGGUUUGGUUCUGCUGAUGAAAAGGAUAAUCUACCUGAUGUGGCAACACCCAACCAGGUAGCAAAGAAAAAGAUUUGGGAGCUAGUACAACCACAUCUAAAAACAGAUGGUGCAUCUGUUGCUGCACUAGGAACGCAUUGUAUGCGAGCUUCAACAGGUGUGGUGGUCAGCCCAUCUCUAAA
rnacentral:misc_RNA from 1 species